rnacentral:lncRNA from 1 species
AACUAUUGAAUAAUAGUUCCCAGUGGGCAAUUGCUGACUUCAGUGAAAUGCACCACUAGGCCCAACUACAACAAAAAAGAUCAGUGUAUAAGCAUAAGCAAAGGCGAUAAAUACAACGGAUAAGCAAAGAUGAAUUCUACUCAACCACGAUUUCUCUACUUAGCAUGAUUGCAUAAGUAAUAAAACAACUACCACAAGUAUGUAUAUGAGAAUAACCAAUAUGUAAAUGCAUGAGUAUGCAAUUAUCCUAAUGUCCACAAUGUGAAUAGCAAUAAUGUCAAUGUUCACUAUUCUAGUCAAUGUCCACUUGUCACUUUAACUGUUUCAAGUUCCACUCUGAUAAGACCCACCCGAAGGCUGUCUGGCAUAAGACCCACCCGAAGGCUGUCUGGCUUUACCGUGCCUAAUGGCCCCGUGGUAGUCAACAUCCCCACCCUAGGAAUGAGCCUUUCCCACGGCAAUCCACUUCGGCGCCCAGUCCCGCAUGGCGAACGCAUCGCGAUGGCCAACUCCGGAGUGCCGGCUUGUAGGGAGCGACCCUCACAAGCAAGUGCGAAUGAGCACAAUGGCAAGCAUGCGUUGUAACGCCCCGGGACUGAUACCAAUUUGGGCUGGCCCGAGCACGUCAAGCAGACGCCGAGCGGACAGAGUUUUCCAUGUCCGCCCAAGGCUCAUCACAUGUACAUUUUCAAUCAAGAAGUGCAUUAGCGGAAACAUACAAAUACGGCUUACACGAGGUUAAGCAAUAGCCACGAGUGAAAGAAAAAGAAAACUAAACAUUCUCUUGUACUAUGAUUCAUUUUUUAUCAUAUACAUUGCAUUCAUCUUGUACAUUUUCGAAUUCCGUACAUUUCAUUUCAUCAAUUCUUUCUUGCAUCACAUUUACCUCAAAAUACACAUUACAUUCUUUUCUUUACAUCAUUUAUCAUCAAAUACAAAAGAUGAACAUAGGGUACUCUACUAACAAAAUGUAAAUCCAACUCAACUCUGGUGGCCUCUGUCUAAGGCGUGAUACCUUUACCUCGGUCGCUCGCCGGCUCGCUCGGUCCCGGCUCUAUGGAAAUAGUGGGGUGAGAACUACAACAAAGUUCCCAGUGGGUUC